UACGUAGGGUGCGAGCGUUGUCCGGAAUUAUUGGGCGUAAAGAGCUUGUAGGCGGUCUGUCGCGUCUGCUGUGAAAAUCCGGGGCUCAACCCCGGACUUGCAGUGGGUACGGGCAGACUAGAGUGCGGGUAGGGGAGAUUGGAAUUCCUGGUGUAGCGGUGGAAUGCGCAGAUAUCAGGAGGAACACCAAUGGCGAAGGCAGAUCUCUGGGCCGUAACUGACGCUGAGGAGCGAAAGCAUGGGGAGCGAACAGG
rnacentral:rRNA from 1 species